rnacentral:rRNA from 1 species
CAUGCAAGUCGAACGAGAGAGAAGGAGCUUGCUUCUUCGAUUGAGUGGCGAACGGGUGAGUAACGCGUGAGGAACCUGCCUCAAAGAGGGGGACAACAGUUGGAAACGACUGCUAAUACCGCAUAAGCCCACGGGUCGGCAUCGACCUGAGGGAAAAGGAGCAAUCCGCUUUGAGAUGGCCUCGCGUCCGAUUAGCUAGUUGGUGAGGUAACGGCCCACCAAGGCGACGAUCGGUAGCCGGACUGAGAAGUUGAACGGCCACAUUGGGACUGAGACACGGCCCAGACUCCUACGGGAGGCAGCAGUGGGGAAUAUUGCACAAUGGGGGAAACCCUGAUGCAGCGACGCCGCGUGGAGGAAGAAGGUCUUCGGAUUGUAAACUCCUGUUGUUGAGGAAGAUAAUGACGGUACUCAACAAGGAAGUGACGGCUAACUACGUGCCAGCAGCCGCGGUAAAACGUAGGUCACAAGCGUUGUCCGGAAUUACUGGGUGUAAAGGGAGCGCAGGCGGGAAGACAAGUUGGAAGUGAAAUCUAUGGGCUUAACCCAUAAACUGCUUUCAAAACUGUUUUUCUUGAGUAGUGCAGAGGUAGGCGGAAUUCCCGGUGUAGCGGUGGAAUGCGUAGAUAUCGGGAGGAACACCAGUGGCGAAGGCGGCCUACUGGGCACCAACUGACGCUGAGGCUCGAAAGUGUGGGUAGCAAACAGGAUUAGAUACCCUGGUAGUCCACACCGUAAACGAUGAUUACUAGGUGUUGGAGGAUUGACCCCUUCAGUGCCGCAGUUAACACAAUAAGUAAUCCACCUGGGGAGUACGACCGCAAGGUUGAAACUCAAAGGAAUUGACGGGGGCCCGCACAAGCAGUGGAGUAUGUGGUUUAAUUCGACGCAACGCGAA